CUCUUAUCGAGAGGGUGGAGGGAGACGGCCCUGUGAAACCCGGCAGCCUGCGGUGACGUAGACCGCAAGGUGCCAAGUCCGCCGGACCGAAGGGUCCGGAAGAUAAGAG
rnacentral:ncRNA from 2 species